rnacentral:tRNA from 2 species
GCGACCGUAGUCUAAUGGCAUGAUGCAACCUUGCCAAGGUUGUGGCCCGGGUUCAAUUCCCGGCGGUCGCA